UACGUAGGGACCAAGCGUUGUUCGGAUUUACUGGGCGUAAAGGGCGCGUAGGCGGCAAUUCAAGUCAUCUGUGAAAUCUCCGGGCUUAACUCGGAACGGUCAGGUGAAACUGCUUUGCUAGAGUGCGGAAGGGGCAAUCGGAAUUCUCGGUGUAGCGGUGAAAUGCGUAGAUAUCGAGAGGAACACCUGAGGUGAAGACGGGUUGCUGGGCCGACACUGACGCUGAAGCGCGAAAGCCAGGGGAGCAAACAGG
rnacentral:rRNA from 1 species